UACGGGGGGGAGCAAGCGUUGUUCGGAUUUACUGGGCGUAAAGGGCGCGUAGGCGGCCACCGCAAGUCGACUGUGAAAUCUCCGGGCUUAACCCGGAAAGGUCAGCCGAUACUGCGGGGGCUAGAGUGCAGAAGGGGGCAACUGGAAUUCUCGGUGUAGCGGUGAAAUGCGCAGAUAUCAGGAGGAACACCAAUGGCGAAGGCAGCUCGCUGGGACGGUACUGACGCUGAGGCGCGAAAGCGUGGGGAGCAAACAGG
rnacentral:rRNA from 1 species